CGCUUGCAGCGGAGGCGUCGGGGCCGCGGCUCGGGUGAGACGGUUCGCGCCGCGACACGCGUCCGCUCCUGCCGCUUUACGGCUGCUGAAAACCCGGCCCGCGCCCGGCAGCCGUACCGCAGAUGAGCCCGCACCCGCGCCGCUCAGAUCUCCCAGCUGGACAUUGGAAAUAGCUUUUGAUGGUUUAGGGCCUCUUUCAUUUGACCCCAGGAAUAUGAAGACUUCUGUGUCAGUGGUCCCCCAAAACACCAUCAGGUAUGAUGAUUCACCAGCAAGAGUCCAAGGAUUCUGUGUAUAGUUGUACUUACAAUCAUGAUUUAUUACAGUGAAGGGGUAUGAAGCAAAAUAAGCAAAGAGAAAAAGUGCAUGGGGCAAAGUCUGGAAGAAACCA
rnacentral:lncRNA from 1 species